rnacentral:rRNA from 1 species
UACAGAGGGGGCAAGCGUUACUCGGAAUUACUGGGCGUAAAGCGUGCGUAGGUGGUUCGUUAAGUCUGAUGUGAAAGCCCUGGGCUCAACCUGGGAAUGGCAUUGGAUACUGGCGAUCUAGAGUGCGGUAGAGGGCAGUGGAAUUCCCGGUGUAGCAGUGAAAUGCGUAGAGAUCGGGAGGAACAUCUGUGGCGAAGGCGACUGCCUGGACCAGCACUGACACUGAGGCACGAAAGCGUGGGGAGCAAACAGG